AUUGAACGCUGGCGGCAGGCUUAACACAUGCAAGUCGAGCGGAGCGAGGGUGCUUGCACCUUAGCUUAGCGGCGGACGGGUGAGUAUGCUUAGGAAUCUGCCUAUUAGUGGGGGACAACAUUCCGAAAGGAAUGCUAAUACCGCAUACGCCCUACGGGGGAAAGCAGGGGAUCUUCGGACCUUGCGCUAAUAGAUGAGCCUAAGUCGGAUUAGCUAGUUGGUGGGGUAAAGGCCUACCAAGGCGACGAUCUGUAGCGGGUCUGAGAGGAUGAUCCGCCACACCGGGACUGAGACACGGCCCAGACUCCUACGGGAGGCAGCAGUGGGGAAUAUUGGACAAUGGGCGGAAGCCUGAUCCAGCCAUGCCGCGUGUGUGAAGAAGGCCUUUUGGUUGUAAAGCACUUUAAGCGAGGAGGAGGCUACUUAGAUUAAUACUCUGGGAUAGUGGACGUUACUCGCAGAAUAAGCACCGGCUAACUCUGUGCCAGCAGCCGCAGUAA
rnacentral:rRNA from 1 species